AGAGUUUGAUCCUGGCUCAGGAUGAACGCUAGCGGCAGGCUUAACACAUGCAAGUCGAGGGGUAACAGGGAGGAGCUUGCUUUUCCGCUGACGACCGGCGCACGGGUGAGUAACGCGUAUGCAACCUACCUUAUACUGGGGGAUAGCCCAAAGAAAUUUGGAUUAAUACCGCAUAACAUAUUUGAAUCGCAUGAUAAAAUUUAAAACUCCGGUGGUAUAAGAUGGGCAUGCGUAGCAUUAGUUAGUUGGUGAGGUAACGGCUCACCAAGACGAUGAUGCUUAGGGGGUCUGAGAGGAUAGUCCCCCACACUGGUACUGAGACACGGACCAGACUCCUACGGGAGGCAGCAGUGAGGAAUAUUGGUCAAUGGACGCAAGUCUGAACCAGCCAUGUCGCGUGCAGGAUGACGGCCCUAUGGGUUGUAAACUGCUUUUUUUACAGGAAUAAUUGUCGCUACGUGUAGAGAUUUGAAUGUACUGUAUGAAUAAGGAUCGGCUAACUCCGUGCCAGCAGCCGCGGUAAUACGGAGGAUUCGAGCGUUAUCCGGAUUUAUUGGGUUUAAAGGGUCCGUAGGCGGUCUUUUAAGUCAGUGGUGAAAUCCCAGAGCUCAACUCUGGAACUGCCAUUGAAACUGAAGAACUUGAAUAUGGUUGAGGUAGGCGGAAUACGUUAUGUAGCGGUGAAAUGCAUAGAUAUAACGUAGAACACCAAUUGCGAAGGCAGCUUACUAAACCAUUAUUGACGCUGAUGGACGAAAGCGUGGGGAGCGAACAGGAUUAGAUACCCUGGUAGUCCACGCCGUAAACGAUGAUUACUUUGUGCACAAUACAUCGUGCGUGACUGAGCGAAAGCAUUAAGUAAUCCACCUGGGGAGUACGUUCGCAAGAAUGAAACUCAAAGGAAUUGACGGGGGCCCGCACAAGCGGAGGAACAUGUGGUUUAAUUCGAUGAUACGCGAGGAACCUUACCUGGACUUAAAUGUAGAUUGACCGGUUUAGAAAUAGAUCUUUCUCGGGACAAUUUACAAGGUGCUGCAUGGUUGUCGUCCGCUCGUGCCGUCAGGUGUCGGGUUAAGUCCCAUAACGAGCGCAACCCCUAUCGUUAGUUGCUAGCAGGUCAUGCUGGGACUCUAGAGAAACUGCCAGCGUAAGCUGUGAGGAAGGUGGGGACGACGUCAAAUCAUCACGGCCCUUACGUCCUGGGCCACACACGUGCUACAAUGGUGGGGACAACGAGUUGCCAACCCGCGAGGGUGAGCUAAUCUCUCAAACCCCAUCUCAGUUCGGAUCGGAGUCUGCAACUCGACUCCGUGAAGUUGGAAUCGCUAGUAAUCGCGCAUCAGCCAUGGCGCGGUGAAUACGUUCCCGGGCCUUGUACACACCGCCCGUCAAGCCAUGGAAGCUGGGGGUGCCUGAAGUCGGUCACCGAAAGGAGCCGCCUAGGGCAAAACUGGUAACUAGGGCUAAGUCGUAACAAGGUAACC
rnacentral:rRNA from 1 species